AAAGGAACUUGAAACUGCCUGGAAGGCAGAAUUGGAUCAAAAACUCCCUGAGGGUGGCAACCUAAAUUUGAAACCAGAUGACUUUGUGUUUGAUGAAGUUACACUACAAUAUGGGAAGGGGGCAAAGGACCCAAUACAGAAUGUGCAUUUCUACCGAAAGAACGAGCCAGAUGUAGCCAUCAAAUUGCGCAGAGAUCAAGUAUCUCAUAUUCUUCCAAGAACAUUUGCUGAGAGAAAGAUCAGAAUCUACAGCAAGAACACAAAUGAAGAUGCUCUGAAGGCUGGCAAGCAGCAUUUUGAGAAUUUUAAGAGAAGAUACAACAGCACAGAGCCGGAGGAUGAAGACCAAACAACACCUGAAGUGACUCCUCCAUAAGCCAGCUGAUACAAUGAUUAUAACGUUUUAUGAAAUAAACAAAAAACUUGGGUGCUUAAAUCAAAGUCAGAAAGAAAUGUUUCUGUUAAGGAUACGUGUUUAACAGCACAGUUAAUUAUUUUUAAAAAGAGAAUGAAAAGAAUUAAAAUAAGGGUUCUAAUUAGAAUGCAUUGACUCUUGUUGGGUAGAAAAUAAGGCAUUAUAUAACUUUAUAAAUUCAUGGUUUUGAUCUUUUUAAGUUGGUUUUAUUUAGUUUCAUCUUAAAGUUUUGCAAGUCCUUCAAAGUUUUGCAAUUUUAAAAAUAUAAUAAUAAAUGAGAUGUUUUUGUUUGUUUCUUUGGUUUACAGCUGGUGGGUUUCUGUGUAUUUUUUACUUAUCCCUUGAACAUAUAAAGUACUUUAAUGUUUUUAGUUUUUAAGAUUGUUUACACAGAUGGCUGACCGUCCUUUGCCAUUUAUUUUUCUGUGGGACUUUGAUGGAAUGUUUGUGCUUAAAGAAAGUAACUCUGCUUCCUCAUUUAUGUCUUCAUAUUUCAGCUAUGUUUAAUACUACAAAUGUGUUUUAGGGUGCCACUUUAAAAACAUC